AUUAUUUCAUACCACCGGAAGUUGCAUAUUGCAGCCGAAUUACAACAAACCGAGAAAUUUGGAAAUUUGCGAGUCCAUCUUUAAAUCAAUUUUGACAGACAGUUGAAAAAAUGCCGAAAAAAUUCAAAGGAGAAAAUUCCAAGGCCGUUGGGGCAAAGGCAAGGAAAGCAGCUGUUCAACACGCAGAGAAAGAGAAAAAGGACCAAGCAUUAGAAGAUGAAUAUUGGAGAGACGAUGAUAAACUUAACGCAAAGAAAUUACAACGGAAGGAUGAUAAAGAAAAGAAACGGAUGGAGCAAUUGGAAAGAAAAAAGGAGUUACAGAAAUUGCACGAUGAAGAGAUGGAGGGCAUGAAGUCAAAAGUUAGCUCAGGAGGGAGUUCAAAGGUUACAAGGGCUCAAAUAGAAGACCAGAUUGUAACGGAGAAGAGAAUAGCAGAUGCUGCCACAGCAAAAUCUAAUGCUUUACCGGAAGAGGCACCGCUUGAGGAUAAUGUCAACAGACUGAUUCCGACGGAUGGAGAGGCUCGCAGUGUAGAUGAUGCCCUUUCAGUACUCAGUGUGAAAGAACCAGAAAUUGAUAUACAUCCGGAGAAGAGGGUCAAAGCUGCUUACCAAAAAUACGAAGACGAACGUUUACCACAGCUCAAAAAGGAGAACCCAAAUUUAAGACUUUCACAAUUAAAACAAAUGUUACGAAAAGAUUGGAUGAAGUCUCCAGAAAACCCUUUGAAUCAAAGGCUGAUGCAAUCGUAGCUAGGAGUAUAAUAUCUAUGAAGAUUCGUUUGGUGAUCAGCUAGUGUCAAGCUAUACGAAUCAGUCAGUACAGAUUGUCGGUUUGUCAACAUCCAACACAUGCAGGCAGAACACAUGCAGUUCAGUCUAAAAUCCAGUGACUAUCUGUUAGUAAGAGUCUGGGUUCUUCAUAGUGGGGAUUGUGAUGCUCUGUUAUAGUUUCGCUGGAAGUGGAUCAAUGUUUGGUGCAACAGAGUCCGACAUCAUUAAAUAUGACUGGUAAAAAUGAGACACGUAUUUGAUGGAAGGGAGAUCGAUGUGAUGCUAGAAGACUUUCUAUUCUAAUUGUUUGACAUUGAUCGUGUCAGUCUUCUGUUAACAUACACAUAUUUUAACUAUUCAGUGAAUUGUGUUGUUCUACAUUUCCUCAGUGAAUAUGAAUUAGAUAUUAUAAUAUGUUAAUUGAAUGAGAACAUAUUUCAUGGUUUUUUUCUGUGUUCAAGGAUAACACACAUAUUGAUUUGUUAAUGUUAACCCAGGUGUUGUAAAACAAUUUAAAAUUCUUCCAUUUUGUUUUACCAGAUAAAUGAAGGAUAUUUUGUUGUAAGCAUUUCGUCCAUGUAAACCCCGUAUAAAAGUGCUAGAUACGUUGUUUAAUACAAAUUUAUUUAUACAUGUAUCCAGUUUGUGAAUUUAUUUUUUCAUUAGUUGCCACAUUGAGAGUGUAAUUUCUUCAUAUGUAAAUGCAAGCCAUGUUUUUGUAUUAUAGCAGUGGGACACUGGCAAAUAUGUUCAGCCAGAUGUAAGGGAGGUAAUCCAUUUGUCCUUCGCUAUAACACAUGGGCUGCCAUCACUUAUCACAUGCACUCUCUGUAGAUCUUCCUGACUUUACCCCAGAAAUGUUUAUGUACAUUCGAGUAUCCCGGUUGAAACGGUUCAGGUGGCGCAGAAAUAUUUCACGAUAAACAAACACACUUGGACCCAACUGUAUUCAAAGCUAAAAAAUGCACUAUUUCGGAGAAUAUAAAACAAUAUAUAUAAAGAAUGAUAUUUCCUUCUUUCACAAGUCCACUAAAUUAUAUUAUGUAUCUUAAAAUCUGCAUCUGGAUUGACUUUGUUUUAUAAUGAAAUAAUGCAAACUAGCAAUAGUCAGCAAUUUGGUUUCGGCCAGGCACGUCUAAACCCCUCAAUCAUCAUGUGCCGAAUAUUCCUGAGUUCAGCCUCGGUUCAGAUUUGAGCCUGUCGUUUCCUUUCAGGUUCAACCAUUUCAACUGGUUGGCCUGGAUACGCGAAAGGGGCCAUGUACGUUAACUAAGUGAGGAUGAACCCAAAUGGAUCACUCUUUACAAAAGUACAACAAUUCAUGUUUUAUGAUUUAUUUCAACUAGCAUCAGUAAAUGCAUUUCAAACUAAGAAAAUAGUCUUUGUUUGCGUCAUUAAAUUUAUUAAAUCUAGUGCAUAAAGGGACUAUGCCUUCUGAUUCAGACAAUAGGAUCUAAUGUCCAAGUCUCAAUUCCUACUUACUUAUAUAUUCCAUUACCGUUACCAAGUGUUACUGCAGUCUAUAAUUAUUUGGGUCAUUAAAUAAGCUAAAAAAGUAAAACAAAAGCAAAUCAACUCCUUGUUUAGUUUAGAAAACUAAAGACAGCUAAGCGAAGCAGGCCCGAUUACAUAAGAACUAUUAUAAUUAUAACUGGGGACUACUUCACAAAGGAACUACUUUUUUUAUUUGGAUGAUUUUGGACAGUAUACAUUGAUGAAUGCUUUACCUCGAUAACAUUUGCAUUUAAAGAUAAACCUAAUUUUACACAUUCUCUUCUGUUACUGAAACGUCAUUUAAUUUAUCCAUGUUAUGGCUAAAACGUCAUGUGUUCAUCAUGAUAUACAUUUUGGAUGUGUAUUUUUGUUAGUAAGACAUAAUCUGAUACACUGUAUAGCGAUACAAUAAACUAACAUGUAAGAAAGUGUGAGAUUGCUUCAGGUAUAUUAUAUUUUUGAAAUUCUUGAGACAAGAAUGUUACCAUGUUUCAGUAUUAUAAUAUUUGAAACAAACAGACAUCAUUGCAGAAAUCAAAUAUAUUUAUUAGUUUUUGGUAUCUUUGUACAUGUAUUUCAUUUUUAAUAGUAUAACUCAAUUUGUUGAACUGUUAAAGUAGCAAUGAAAAAGAAUACAACCUUUUUUUUGGACAUUAUUCAUAAAUAAAAGCUGUUACUUAUUUUAGUGUCAGGUGUUAAGUUUUAUGGUAGCUCAUAUUCUACAACAAAAUGUUUACACAAUAUUUAGGUAUCGUAAACUGUUCAGUAAAAAAUCCAAUCAUAUAAGCACUGUCACUACAUUUCAUUGUUUUCUGCAUACAUUUUAUUUCAAUUUGCAUUAUCUUACAUAAACGAAUUCCUCUGCCCAUAUACAGCAUGCAUACAUUUGCAUUUCUUCAAAUUUUUCCAAUAUAGAAAACUUCCUAUCUACUGUACAUCCUUAAAUGACCUUAGCUGUUGAUAGGAUGUUAAACCCUGUAUAACCAACCCUAUCUACUGUAUUGUUUUAGAAUGAUAUAUGUGUUUCUAGUGUGUCUGAUUAUAUCAUUGUACAGUAAAACAUCAUUAUAAAACAUUUAGAUUUUUCUAAGACCUGUUUACCAUUUUAGAUUACCGGACAGGUAGUUUCCGCGGUUACAUUUUUAUGCUUUUUCAAAUAACUUAUUACGAUAUCUCUGUUUUUGGUCAUGUGAUAUUUUAAAAUACUAUGUGAGCUUAUGGUGUGGGACAUCGUCUGUCGUCCAUCAAUUUUUCUUUUAAAACACUAUUAGUCCCGAGCAGUGAUUGUGGAUUUUGAAUAAAUUUUAUUUGGAAUAUACUUAAGCAAAAUGAUUGUGUUGCUUCCCUUGUGUCAGAGGAGUGGGCCCAAGAGGGGGAAGAGAGGAAAAUCUGAAAGUAUAUCCUUCCAUAUUGAUAUAAAUCAAAUUUAGUCAAAAACACCUUUGGGCAAAGGGGAGUGCGUUUGUUGGGAAAUGUAUAUAGACAAAUACAUUUAUCUAUAAAAGUAUAAAAGAUAAGAUAUUAUCAAGUGCUAUCAGCUGUUGGUAACACUUCUCUAACAUUCAAUGAUACAAUGUAUACAUGCUUCUAAUAAACGUUUUGUUUUCACUAAC
rnacentral:misc_RNA from 1 species